rnacentral:rRNA from 1 species
GUAACGCGUAGGAAUCUACCAAAUAGUGGGGGACAACUCGAGGAAACUCGAGCUAAUACCGCAUAAUCCCUCCGGGGGAAAGCAGGGGAUCUUCGGACCUUGUGCUAUUUGAUGAGCCUGCGUAGGAUUAGCUUGUUGGUGAGGUAAAGGCUCACCAAGGCGACGAUCCUUAGCUGGUCUGAGAGGAUGAUCAGCCACACUGGGACUGAGACACGGCCCAGACUCCUACGGGAGGCAGCAGUGGGGAAUAUUGGACAAUGGGGGAAACCCUGAUCCAGCAAUGCAGCGUGUGUGAAGAAGGUCUUCGGAUUGUAAAGCACUUUCAGUAGGAAAGAAAAAAUAUUGGCUAAUACCUAAUAUCUUGACGUUACCUACAGAAGAAGCACUGGCUAACUCUGUGCCAGCAGCCGCGGUAAUACAGAGAGUGCGAGCGUUAAUCGGAAUUACUGGGCGUAAAGCGCGCGUAGGUGGAUAAUUAAGUCGGAUGUGAAAUCCCUGGGCUCAACCUAGGAACUGCAUCCGAAACUGAUUAUCUAGAGUAUGGUAGAGGGAAGUGGAAUUUCCGGUGUAGCGGUGAAAUGCGUAGAUAUCGGAAGGAACAUCAGUGGCGAAGGCGACUUCCUGGACCAAUACUGACACUGAGGUG